rnacentral:rRNA from 1 species
AAAUUGAAGAGUUUGAUCAUGGCUCAGAUUGAACGCUGGCGGCAGGCCUAACACAUGCAAGUCGAACGGUAACAGGAAGCAGCUUGCUGCUUCGCUGACGAGUGGCGGACGGGUGAGUAAUGUCUGGGAAACUGCCUGAUGGAGGGGGAUAACUACUGGAAACGGUAGCUAAUACCGCAUAACGUCGCAAGACCAAAGAGGGGGACCUUCGGGCCUCUUGCCAUCGGAUGUGCCCAGAUGGGAUUAGCUAGUAGGUGGGGUAACGGCUCAC